rnacentral:sRNA from 1 species
GUCUAGUCUGACAUCCUGGCUCUAUGCUAAUUGAUCACAACCAGUUACAGAUUCCUUUGUUCCUUCUCCACUCCCGCUGCUUCACUUGACCGGUCUUAG